AACGAACGCUGGCGGCAGGCUUAACACAUGCAAGUCGAACGCCCCGCAAGGGGAGUGGCAGACGGGUGAGUAACGCGUGGGAAUCUACCGUGCCCUACGGAAUAGCUCCGGGAAACUGGAAUUAAUACCGUAUACGCCCUACGGGGGAAAGAUUUAUCGGGGUAUGAUGAGCCCGCGUUGGAUUAGCUAGUUGGUGGGGUAAAGGCCUACCAAGGCGACGAUCCAUAGCUGGUCUGAGAGGAUGAUCAGCCACAUUGGGACUGAGACACGGCCCAAACUCCUACGGGAGGCAGCAGUGGGGAAUAUUGGUCAAUGGGCGCAAGCCUGAUCCAGCCAUGCCGCGUGAGUGAUGAAGGUCUUAGGAUUGUAAAGCUCUUUCACCGAUGAAGAUAAUGACGGUAGUCGGAGAAGAAGCCCCGGCUAACUUCGUGCCAGCCGCCGCCGUAAAAC
rnacentral:rRNA from 1 species